rnacentral:rRNA from 1 species
GAACGAACGCUGGCGGCGCGCCUAAUACAUGCAAGUCGAGCGAGAAGACGUAGCAAUACGUUUGUAAAGCGGCGAACGGGUGAGGAAUACAUGGGUAACCUACCCUCGAGUGGGGAAUAACUAGCCGAAAGGUUAGCUAAUACCGCGUACGCUCCUUGGACUUCGGUUCGAGGGAGGAAAGCGAUACCGUGGGUAUCGCGCUCUUGGAUGGGCUCAUGUCCUAUCAGCUUGUUGGGAGGUAACGGCUCACCAAGGCUUCGACGGGUAGCUGGUCUGAGAGGACGAUCAGCCACACUGGCACUGCGACACGGGCCAGACUCCUACGGGAGGCAGCAGUAAGGAAUAUUGCGCAAUGGGCGAAAGCCUGACGCAGCGACGCCGCGUGGGGGAUGAAGGUCUUCGGAUUGUAAACCCCUUUCGGGAGGG